GCUGAGAGCAGAGGGGAAUGGAGUGGAGGCGAGGAAAGAGGCUAAGAUUUGUCGAGCUCCUGCUGUGUGCCCAGACACUGUGCUACAUGUCAUAAUCGCCAGCAUCGCCUCUGUGAAUGCUCACUACAAAGCAGGCAACGAAGAGUCAUUCUUUUCAUCAUGCAGCAAACAUUUCUGAGGAUCUACUCGACCCACAGUACCUUCGCAGUGGGCGCUGUGAUGCGCUGCUCGGAUGCCGCGCCUCCCCCCUCAGACCGGAGCCUUCUCCCCUCCAAUGCCUGACAGCUCACAGCUGAGACUGCCCUCCGUACCACUGCCUUAGACUUAAGAGACCCUCCACAUUUAGUGUCACUCCCCUUCCCAGGACCAGCCUGCAUCUAGUGAUUGGUCCAUGUAGGGGUAUAAAGGCCCAGCUCCCUUGCUCCAAUUUGGGAUAACUGUGAAAAGUCGUUCCAGCUCUAGAGCUCCUGAGAGGUGGGCUGACGCCUCUGUGGGGUCUGCAUCACAGCCCAGCUUGUCCCUCUGCCCAGUCCUGCUUCACUCACUGCCCUACAGGUAUUGAUCUUGAAGUCAAUCCCCAAUAAACCUCCUGCCAGCAAAUCUUCA